CAUUAUCUUUUACAGUCCGGGACAUUUCUAUUUGGACAUAAAAAAUUUGAAUUUUCUGACAUUUAUACGUGUAUUCAGCGUCUAUGUGAACAAAAAAUGUUCUCUCUCUCAUUCUAUGGUCCUUGAGCUUUAAUAACAGGGACAUUUUUUAAAUUGGUAGCAUUAGAAAAUGACAGUAAACAGCUGACUGAUGUAAACAAUAACAAAGGAAAUGUUAUAAUUUUAAUCUAUAUAACCCGUGGCUGCUUUAAAAGUGUGUACUAACGGGAUAAUAAAAUAUUUACGCAAGUAUUUUUGAAGGUAGAAACAUUACUUGUCAUAUAACAAUUAUAGAUUAUAUGAUGAGACGGGAAUGGCACAACACAGAAUUGCAGUCAGUGAUUGUGCUGGAGAAAGCUGCUGUGACGUACUGACAGUACUGACUAUCGCUGGUUGUACGAUUUGUGCACUUUGUGAUAUAUUUUGUGUGAAAAACUGGAAAACAAAGUGCAUACCUGCAUAACCUCACUUAUCGCAGUUUUGCACAUUUUGAUGAUGGGAAUUGCGGUUCAAGUAAUUAUGAGUUAUAGAUGGAGCUCACUGUUUACUUCAAACUGAAGCCUUUUGGGUCCACUUUUUUCGUUGUUAUUUCCUGGUAGCGACUAUUGUUUCAAGCAGAAUGGGUGUAAAGUUAAAAAUAAUCCCAUAAAAUUGUUAAUAUAACUCCGUUGCACUGGCAUGGGGUAUUUGAAAACUUACGUUUAACAAAUACGUCACAAAGUCUCAUCCAUCGUUGAAAAACAUAAUAAGGGCUUUAUAACAACAAGCGCUUUCUGAUUUUACUGUGGACGUGUGGAAGAAUAGUGUGAAAUAUUGCGAAAAACCAACUUUUACUCUUGUUUACAUUUUUGUACGUCUCUAUCUGAGAGUAGUCGUCUUUUAUAAAAAAUAUAGCCUACUAAUAAAGGAAAUUAGAGUGUUUU